rnacentral:rRNA from 1 species
UGGCGGACGGGUGAGUAACGCGUGGAAAACCUGCCGUAUACUGGGGGAUAAUACUUAGAAAUAGGUGCUAAUACCGCAUAAGCGCACAGCUUCGCAUGAAGCGGUGUGAAAAACUCUGGUGGUAUACGAUGGUUCCGCGUCUGAUUAGCUAGUUGGUGGGGUAAUGGCCUACCAAGGCAACGAUCAGUAGCCGGCCUGAGAGGGUGAACGGCCACAUUGGGACUGAGACACGGCCCAAACUCCUACGGGAGGCAGCAG